CUUCAUGCUCUGGGACCAGGAGCUGGGGGAGCAAGUGGCAAAGCCAGGCCUCUGAGGUCACCUCUGCCAGACAGGGAGGCAGCUCCGCAUAUUCCACCAGCGGGACCCAGGCAGAAGCCUAUUCCAUUUGGCUUGGGGAGGAGACAUGUGGUUUUCAUGACAGUGGACCUCCUUUCUAAUUAGAGACUCACUGAGGCGUGUGUCAAAAUCGGCAGCAUUUUUUUGAGCUCCACAAAUAAGAACAGCACUUCACUCCAGGGCAGUGUUUCCUGGAUCUGAGGCACCUCCCUGAAGAUGCUGUUUCUCUGACAUACUUUUCAUAGCAUGCCGGCUCACUGGGUGUCAACCCAUCAGGAAGCCGGGGCCUUGAGGGACUCCUCUCCGAAGACCCAGGCUGGCAGACAUUGUCACCAACCACGUGGGGAAUUGAAGCAAAGGCCUCUGAAACUGCAAAACCCACUGAAAUGGAUUUUGAGAAGAAUACCCAGGUGUCUGGUGAGGCGGCCUUUCAUUUCCUAUUUUGCAAUGACACUGAGUUUUUCACUUCAUGUACUGAUCU
ensembl:lncRNA